rnacentral:rRNA from 1 species
AUUGAACGCUGGCGGCAGGCCUAACACAUGCAAGUCGAGCGGAUGAGUGGAGCUUGCUCCAUGAUUCAGCGGCGGACGGGUGAGUAAUGCCUAGGAAUCUGCCUGGUAGUGGGGGACAACGUUUCGAAAGGAACGCUAAUACCGCAUACGUCCUACGGGAGAAAGUGGGGGAUCUUCGGACCUCGCGCUAUCAGAUGAGCCUAGGUCGGAUUAGCUAGUUGGUGAGGUAAAGGCUCACCAAGGCGACGAUCCGUAACUGGUCUGAGAGGAUGAUCAGUCACACUGGAACUGAGACACGGUCCAGACUCCUACGGGAGGCAGCAGUGGGGAAUAUUGGACAAUGGGCGAAAGCCUGAUCCAGCCAUGCCGCGUGUGUGAAGAAGGUCUUCGGAUUGUAAAGCACUUUAAGUUGGGAGGAAGGGCAGUAAGUUAAUACCUUGCUGUUUUGACGUUACCAACAGAAUAAGCACCGGCUAACUUCGUGCCAGCAGCCGCUGUAAUAC